GUGCGUUUGUGCUACCCUUAUUAAUGAGCCAUUUCUUGACUAUGUUCUUGACUAUGUAACCGCGUUUGUGUGGAUGCGUAGACGUGUGCUUUUUGUUGUACUUGUAAAAUGCAAAUAAAAUAUUUUCAGGCUUACUCAAUCUUUGGUGUCGUGUGCGUUUAUUCCAGUCGAGGCCAUCGUGCCACCUGGAAACCGCAUUCUGUCAGUAGCCCUACACGAAAUGCAACAGCUGGAGCGCGGCGGCACAAUUUAACUCAGGGCAACGGCGGCGUAAUAAACGAAAAACCGCUCGGGAUGCCCUUAAAAGUCAGUUUAGAGUGUGCCUUUAUUCGAUAUGACUCAGCGCUACAUGUAUUCUGCUGCGCCUCGAUCGUGCUCCCGCCAGUUUGGUUGCUGUGUGGCAAACGUAGCGCCUACAUAAAUAUGUAGGCGCUACGUUUGCUACACAGCAACUAAACUGGCGGGAGCACGAUCGAGGCGCAGCAGCCAGAAACCCAGUAAAGCCACAGAACACCUGGUAAAGCGUGUGCAAAACCCCGUUUCCGUUUCCUGUUGUGCAGCGCCACCUGUGGUCGCAUACUUUAGUUCACGACGCCACCGCUAUGCUUAUUUUCGUAGCACUGUGGAAGGUACAGUUUCCGUUCUCUAAGUUUGUAUAGGUGUUCUGUGCCAUUAUGGGCGAAGCCUUGUGACCACUCUGCCGUGCUCUUUCUGUAAAAUGCACCUGUGCAUCGUUGUUGGGUUCUUCUGCCAGCGUCUGCUUCGUCGCCGUUUCAUGGAAUCUCCACCAUUUCCUCAAAAUACACUGCACAGCCAAAGGACAUCACGCAUACUCAAGGGCAAAAUUCCAAGUAUCAGAAGACGAUUGCAGGGCUUCGAAGACAGCAGGGGAAGACCCCCCACACAAAGUGCUUAAUUGCAGCUCAUUAAUGACGGACACACUGGCUUACACAUUCGAGAUGAAGAUGUUGGUGCGUGCUUAAUUAUUUUUGCAGCCAUUUUAUUUCGGCACGCUACCAUUCACAUAAUUUUGCUGCCCUAAUUCACCUUCCUUCGCAGAAGUACAAGAAAAACGGCAUUUCUUUCCUUCUAAAGCAAUACCAUUUUAAGCAAAUUAAUUCCUGUGGUGUAUUUGCAGUUUUCUUUUUCAUUAUCUGGAUAGUUACAACACGUCUUCUAUGUGUUUUGCUUGUGCAAAGUUAUUGCCAUCACGCCAUUCAUUUUCAACUAUUCUCCAUUAUACCGGUGUGACACGACCACUUGCGAUCGCGAACAAGUCCGAUCCUGAUUGGAAUUCGCGACUGAUAUUGGCGCCAUCGCGCAGCUUGCGCAAAAGAACCAAUCGUGACUGAGACAUGCAAAUCGGAUUGGGCUUGAUCGCGUUUAAAAGUGCGCCGUGUGACACCCGUAUUACUUGCAUUUCGCUGUUUCUUCCCGUUUUCAUGUACCUGCCUCUUACAAUCUUGCUGCAAUAAAUUGUCUGCUAUUUUCGUGUU